rnacentral:rRNA from 1 species
AUGCCAGGCUCAUCAAAGAAGGAGGGAGGCCUGGGUUUACGGGAUCUACACAUUUUCAACCUCGCAAUGCUGUCCCGUCAGCGGUGGCGGCUGCUGGACGCCCCGGGUACUCUUUGUGCUCGAGUCCUCAAAGCUCGGUACUACCCAAACUGCUCAGUCCUGGAGGCAGAGGCGAAGGAUGGCAUUUCGUACACAUGGAGAAGUAUUCUCAAAGGCAUUGCACUCUUCAAGGAAGGAGUGAUUUGCGGAGUGGGUUCACGGGAUAACAUUAAGGUGUGGGAGGACCCAUGGAUACCAUGGGGUGACACAGAAAACCGAGGUCUGUCUGAGGCAACGCUGUCAUUACUAAGGUAA